UACAGAGGGUGCAAGCGUUAAUCGGAAUUACUGGGCGUAAAGCGUGCGUAGACGGUCAUGUAAGUCGGGUGUGAAAGCCCCCGGGCUCAACCUGGGAAUUGCAUUCGAGACUGCAUGGCUAGGAUGCGGAAGAGGGAAGCGGAAUUUCCGGUGUAGCGGUGAAAUGCGUAGAUAUCGAGAGGAACACCUGCGGCGAAGGCGGGUUGCUGGGCUGACACUGACGGUGAGGCGCGAAAGCCAGGGGAGCGAACGGG
rnacentral:rRNA from 1 species